UCAUACUUUGCUUUGCAUUUGCAGCUUAUGAGGAUGCUGGCAAAGUGCUGCCUCUUUUAAAAAGUUGAAUCCAGACUGUUAGACAUCAGCAAGAUCACUCUGGUAUUGGAAUCUAACCAAGCACAAAACAUCCUCAGCCUUCCCGGCAAAGCACAGAUGGCUGCAGAUGCUGGUGCUGUGGCUAGCCAGCUUUUUCAGAGGAAAGGCCAGUUUGUCGUGCAAGCCACACUCCUCAGAUAAAACCCUACUCCCCAACAAGAAGCUGUGAAAAAGCCCAGGUGGUGAAGAGCUCAAGCAGAUGAGCUCCCAUGACUCCCAAGUUUCACAGUUGGAUUCUCAAGCCCAUACACACAAAACUCUGGUUCUCCCAGACAUCCCCACCACCCUUGAUGGCAAAGAGUCCAACUCCGUUUGGGAGAAAAAAGAAACUGAAGAUUAAAGGGUUUGACACAAUUACACAGUUUUAGGGGCCUUGUACACCGAUCUGUAGAAAGCAGCAUACAUUUCCAAAAGUACAUACAUAGAUCAUACAACAACUAUAGACUAAACCACGUUCAACCAUGUAUGUCUGUUU